rnacentral:lncRNA from 1 species
UACAGAUGAACCAACAAGGAAGAAUGACUAACAUAAUAGAUUUCUAGGAACAUGAUUACCAUCAUCAACAAGAAAGCAAUUUUUUUAUCAGAUUUGCUGGGUUACAUCAGUUCGUUGAGGACAGAGUACACCUCCUCUUCAGCCACAUUAUUUUGGUGGGUGCACUACCCAGCGGCAUGGUCUCAAUCGGAAAUUCUUCCCUCCGCAACACUUAUUUUCUACUGUUUUCUCCUUGCACGUACAUCAUAAAACAACUUCCGGUGAUAGUCCUCAAAAUGUUGUAACUGGACAUCUUUAAAUGCAGAAGCAUUUGAAGCAGAGAUCUGUUCCAGAAAUAGAAUUAUGAAUACUGAAACUGACUAUUGCAACAGAGAUAUUCAUAUGAACCGAACAGUUGAUUGAAAGGCGAAAGAAUCAUCUCAUUAAGGACUUGAGCGCAACUAAUCAGAAUUUAAUGAGUUGAUCAACUUCUAAGGCUGUACAUAAACAGCUAAUUUAUUCCGGUCUUUAUUGCCAAACUGUCUAUGGAUUAUAGGUUGCUAAAUAAACUGACAGACAAGCUAUUUAUGCGGCUCCUACUUGGCAUUGGUAUCAAAAUAACGAAAGUGUGCACUGAAAAUAAUUUGGUUUGGCAAUCGUCACUUGAAAGGAAUUAGAAUUUGCGAGCGAUGAUAGACACAACUCACUAUAGCAACGGCAGGGAUCAACAGCACCGUCUCACUCCCUCAAACGACCGAUAUAGAUGG